GUUAUACAGUAUGCAAAGGAACCUGAUUCUUCACGGUCACUUUCACGUGUGAGAAUCUGCACUUACCUCAAUGAAGUCAGUGGAGUUGCACUAUUUUUGAAGAAGUUCUCUUUCACAAAGAUGGAAAUGACUGAGAGCAUUAGUAUUCUGACGAAGAGAGGCUGUGACAAAGAGCAUGACUGCAGGGCCUCCUGACUCCUCUAUGAUGCUGCCAAUGAUGUAGAGGAGACUGGCUCCAAUUGCACCGUUUUCGAAAUAGCCCUAAGAUGGUACAGAGAGAACAGACAGAGAGGCAAUUCACAAACACAGGCAUAAUGUUUUUAGUUUCCCGGCAUUAGGUGAUCAUUUUGCCUGGAAGAAUGAUACCAGGAUUUGGAAACCUCAUGCAGGAUGUGCUGUGGUGCUUUAGUCAAGUAAAAGGAACUAUUGACAUAGGAGUCACAGAAG